rnacentral:rRNA from 1 species
GAUGAACGCUAGCGGCAGGCUUAACACAUGCAAGUCGAGGGGCAGCGUGAGGGUUAGCAAUAACCCUUGACGGCGACCGGCGCACGGGUGCGUAACGCGUAUCCAACCUUCCCGUUACUCAGGGAUAGCCUUCCGAAAGGGAGAUUAAUACCUGAUGGUGUUUGAAUUCCGCAUGUUAUUCAAACUAAAGAUUUAUCGGUAACGGAUGGGGAUGCGUGACAUUAGAUAGUAGGCGGGGUAACGGCCCACCUAGUCUACGAUGUCUAGGGGUUCUGAGAGGAAGGUCCCCCACACUGGAACUGAGACACGGUCCAGACUCCUACGGGAGGCAGCAGUGAGGAAUAUUGGUCAAUGGUCGGAAGACUGAACCAGCCAAGUAGCGUGAAGGAUGAAGGUUCUAUGGAUUGUAAACUUCUUUUAUACGGGAAUAAAACCUCCCACGUGUGGGAGCUUGUAUGUACCGUAUGAAUAAGCAUCGGCUAACUCCGUG